rnacentral:rRNA from 1 species
AUGCCUAAGCCAGAAUUUAUCAGGAAGUGCAUCAAGUGGAUGGAAGGAGAGCAGAAAAAGCUGGUCUUGAAGCUAAACUCCUUUAUGGAUAGUUGUAGCAGAUCCAAUGGGCGGGUGCCACGAUUACAGUAUGAUGGACAACAUUCAUGCAGAAAUGGCGCAUCAAGCACUGUUAAUAAUGUGAAAGAUGACUUGGGGAAGUUGCAGACAUACCUUUUAUGGUUUGCCAUCCUUGCUGCAACUAUUACAUACCAAGCUGGGUUGCAUCCCCCCGGUGGGUUUUGGCCACGCAGUCGAGAUCCAAUCCUCGAGGUCAUCAAUCCCAUUCGGUACAAAGCAUUCUACUACUGCAACACCACUGCAUUUUUGUCAUCAUUGGUUAUCAUCAUGCUACUCCAGAGCCAGCUGAUCACCAUAGGCGCCAUGAAAUGA